rnacentral:rRNA from 1 species
UGGGGAAUAUUGGACAAUGGGCGAAAGCCUGAUCCAGCCAUGCCGCGUGUGUGAAGAAGGUCUUCGGAUUGUAAAGCACUUUAAGUUGGGAGGAAGGGCAGUAAGCGAAUACCUUGCUGUUUUGACGUUACCGACAGAAUAAGCACCGGCUAACUCUGUGCCAGCAGCCGCGGUAAUACAGAGGGUGCAAGCGUUAAUCGGAAUUACUGGGCGUAAAGCGCGCGUAGGUGGUUCGUUAAGUUGAAUGUGAAAGCCCCGGGCUCAACCUGUGAACUGCAUCCAAAACUGGCGAGCUAGAGUAGGGCAGAGGGUGGUGGAAUUUCCUGUGUAGCGGUGAAAUGCGUAGAUAUAGGAAGGAACACCAGUGGCGAAGGCGACCACCUGGGCUCAUACUGACACUGAGGUGCGAAAGCGUGGGGAGCAAACAGG